UACGAAGGGAGCUAGCGUUGUUCGGAAUCACUGGGCGUAAAGCGCACGUAGGCGGAUUUGUAAGUCAGGGGUGAAAUCCCGGGGCUCAACCUCGGAACUGCCUUUGAUACUGCAAAUCUCGAGUCCGAUAGAGGUGGGUGGAAUUCCUAGUGUAGAGGUGAAAUUCGUAGAUAUUAGGAAGAACACCGGUGGCGAAGGCGGCCCACUGGAUCGGUACUGACGCUGAGGAGCGAAAGCGUGGGGAGCGAACAGG
rnacentral:rRNA from 1 species